AAAUUGAAGAGUUUGAUCAUGGCUCAGAUUGAACGCUGGCGGCAGGCCUAACACAUGCAAGUCGAACGGUAACAGGAAGCAGCUUGCUGCUUUGCUGACGAGUGGCGGACGGGUGAGUAAUGUCUGGGAAACUGCCUGAUGGAGGGGGAUAACUACUGGAAACGGUAGCUAAUACCGCAUAACGUCGCAAGACCAAAGAGGGGGACCCUCGGGCCUCUUGCCAUCGGAUGUGCCCAGAUGGGAUUAGCUAGUAGGUGGGGUAACGGCUCACC
rnacentral:rRNA from 1 species